CCUACGGGAGGCAGCAGUGGGGAAUAUUGCACAAUGGGCGCAAGCCUGAUGCAGCGACGCCGCGUGAGGGAUGACGGCCUUCGGGUUGUAAACCUCUUUCAGUAGGGAAGAAGCGAAAGUGACGGUACCUGCAGAAGAAGCGCCGGCUAACUACGUGCCAGCAGCCGCGGUAAUACGUAGGGCGCAAGCGUUAUCCGGAAUUAUUGGGCGUAAAGAGCUCGUAGGCGGUUUGUCGCGUCUGCCGUGAAAGUCCGGGGCUCAACUCCGGAUCUGCGGUGGGUACGGGCAGACUAGAGUGAUGUAGGGGAGACUGGAAUUCCUGGUGUAGCGGUGAAAUGCGCAGAUAUCAGGAGGAACACCGAUGGCGAAGGCAGGUCUCUGGGCAUUAACUGACGCUGAGGAGCGAAAGCAUGGGGAGCGGAACAGGAUUAGAUACCCUGGUAGUCCAUGCCGUAAACGUUGGGCACUAGGUNUGGGGGACAUUCCACGUUUUCCGCGCCGUAGCUAACGCAUUAAGUGCCCCGCCUGGGGNGACGCGCGAGACGAACACAAGAGAGUAGACGCGUGAGACGUCGCCGACGGACGACGACGGAGGGAGGAGG
rnacentral:rRNA from 1 species